rnacentral:tRNA from 1 species
GCGGAAUUGGUGAAGUGGUUAACACGGCGGAUUGUGGUUCCGUUAUGCAUCGGUUCGAUCCCGAUAUUCCGCC